rnacentral:rRNA from 1 species
UACGUAGGGGGCAAGCGUUGUCCGGAUUUACUGGGCGUAAAGCGCACGUAGGCGGAUCGAUCAGUCAGGGGUGAAAUCCCAGAGCUCAACUCUGGAACUGCCUUUGAUACUGUCGAUCUGGAGUAUGGAAGAGGUGAGUGGAAUUCCGAGUGUAGAGGUGAAAUUCGUAGAUAUUCGGAGGAACACCAGUGGCGAAGGCGGCUCACUGGUCCAUUACUGACGCUGAGGUGCGAAAGCGUGGGGAGCAAACAGG